AUGUGGCCAUCUUCAGGCUUUAAUACUUUAUUAGGUAUCAGAUGAAUCACUGGAGAAGAUGAUCCCAAGGAAAUAGGGAACAAAAUAGUUCAUCCACAUAAAACUUACUUCACAGUAGCUGAAAAAGGGAGUUUUCCAAAGAUUAUCAUCUAUGAAUAUCCUUCUCUGAGGCCCU
rnacentral:lncRNA from 1 species